AAUAUGUCAAAUUACAUGCGUGCAACCCAUUUAUGCCAUUUCUCUCUUUGUUUGUAGGCCUGACCGUUUGUCCUUGAACCGUAGAUGGUCAACAAUCCGCUAGCUGUCUUGCUCUGACUGGUGCACUGGACAUGAUUUCAAUAGUCAGCCAGACCAUGAUUGAGCUUAAGGAUUGUGCUGCGGAUGCAGCCUGUGCAGUUCCGGGAGAAAGUCACUGUCUUGGGCAAUGCGGUCUGGUAUCAGGUCUGGAUGAUCCUUGCCUGACUGCGGGUUUGUGAACACCUCAAUCCGACUCUGUGUCCUGAACAGAGGCCGCAGUGGUGCAGCGCUUGUGGACGAUCCAUCAACAUCCUGAAAGGUCAACACUUCACCAAGCUGGGAAAAUUGAUCCUGAUAGUCAUCCCCAGGCCUGACCGUUUGUCCUUGAGCCGUAGAUGGUCAACAAUCCGCUAGCUGUCUUGCUCUGACUGGUGCACUGGACAUGAUUUCAAUAGUCAGCCAGACCAUGCUUGAGCUUAAGGAUUGUGCUGCGGAUGCAGCCUGUGCAGUUCCGGGAGAAAGUCACUGUCUUGGGCAAUGCGGUCUGGUAUCAGGUCUGGAUGAUCCUUGCCUGACUGCGGGUUUGUGUACACCUCAAUCCGACUCUGUGUCCUAAACAGAGGCCGCAGUGGUGCAGCGCUUGUGGACGAUCCAUCAAUAUCCUGAAAGGUCAACACUUCACCAAGCUGGGAAAAUUGAUCCUGAUAGUCAACCCCAGGUAGUGGAAUGAAUGUACACUGAACUACAGUGGAAUCACACCCAAAUGACUUUCCUGCCACGACAUUAGUGUGGCCACUCGCGUAGGAAUUCCUUAGCAAACAUGCUCUUUUGCAUGGUGACUGUGGGCAUUUUUGCAACACUUAAGCUUUCAACGCUGGAUUUUAAAGAGAAUACUUAAUAAAAUGUCGCUAACAGGACUUAUUUAUAUGAGAGAGACUAUCUGAAUGCGCAUUAAGUGUCACUUUGUGUCGUUAGCUGUUGAAGGAGCGAUU